UGGGGGAUAUUGCACAAUGGGCGAAAGCCUGAUGCAGCGACGCCGCGUGGGGGAUGAAGGCCUUCGGGUUGUAAACUUCUUUUGCUCGGAACAAGGCAUGCCUUUGGGGUGUGUUGAGUGUAGGGGUUGAUUAGCGCCGGCUAACUACGUGCCAGCAGCCGCGGUAAUACGUAGGGCGCGAGCGUUGUCCGGAAUUAUUGGGCGUAAAGGGCUUGUAGGUGGCUGGUUGCGUCUGUCGUGAAAGCUCAUGGCUUAACUGUGGGUUUGCGGUGGGUACGGGCUGGCUUGAGUGCAGUAGGGGAGGCUGGAAUUCCUGGUGUAGCGGUGGAAUGCGCAGAUAUCAGGAGGAAUACCGGUGGCGAAGGCGGGUCUCUGGGCUGUUACUGACGCUGAGGAGCGAAAGCGUGGGGAGCGAACAGG
rnacentral:rRNA from 1 species